AUGCCUGUUUGUGGGGAAUGAACCACCUGGAUGCCUUCCUCAGGAAGACAGUGUGUAACUGUCAGAUAGUGAACCUGGGGGCAGGGCUGGACACCACUUUCUGGAGGUUAAAGGAUGAAAACCUCAACCAAAUUGCUGGCAGGACAAUACACAACAAAAAAUGGCCACAGCCUAGACUCAGACAUGCACUGCAUCAUCGGUGCUGACCUCAGGGACAUCCCAGGCCUAGAUGACAAACUGAAGAAGUUCCACCUCAACCCAGAGUACACCUCCAACAUGAUGGAUCGUUUUGGCCAGGUGAUGAUUGAGAAUCUGCAGCGUUGUCAGUGUAACCUGGCAGGAGUGGGGGUGUGUCAGUCACUGGAAUCCCAGAAUAGAGCAUCUGGAGUUUCUGGAUGAAAAGGAACUUCUGCAGCAGCUCCUCCAACACUCAGUAUCUGCUGGGCCACCAAGGACAAGUUCAAGCAGGACUCUCACAAGUUGCUUUCUGAACCUGGACUGUCUUGUCUUAAGCCUGUUUAUCUGUGCCAUGAAAAAACCCAUCAACACCUUCAUAUCAGACUCAAGUCUUGUCUGCUCUGUGGGAAAUGCAUGGCAUCAGCAGAAUUCUACUGAAUGUGUUUCCGUUGCAUCCCAUAAGAGCAACCACUGUCUCCAACAUGCUUUUGUGAAGAGAAGGGAUGUUUCCGCUGGAAGUGUGAUACAGUGCAUUCGGAAAGUAUUCAGACCCCUUGACUUUUUCCACAUUUUGUUGCGUUACAGCCUCAUUCU